rnacentral:pre_miRNA from 1 species
AGCCUUCUAUAUCUGUGUUGAGAUUUCGUCAGUGAUCAACCCAUUCGAGCUGAAGCAACUCCCCAAAUAAGUGAAGUG